rnacentral:ncRNA from 2 species
CUUAUCGAUUGGGACGACGGUCCCUCGCAAGAGGGUUCAAAAGGGAAUGCGGUAUUUACUCCGCAGCUGCCCCCGCAACUGUGCGCGGUGAGCAUAGGCGAGAACGCCACUGGGCAACAGCCCGGGAAGGUCGCCCAAUGCCAAGACCCGCGAGCCAGGAGACCUGCCGUCAACGAGAUUUCCAA